rnacentral:rRNA from 1 species
AUUGAACGCUGGCGGCAGGCCUAACACAUGCAAGUCGAGCGAGCGGCGGACGGGUGAGUAAUGUCUGGGAAACUGCCUGAUGGAGGGGGAUAACUACUGGAAACGGUAGCUAAUACCGCAUACCAUCAGAUGUGCCCAGAUGGGAUUAGCUAGUGGGUGGGGUAAUGGCUUACCUAGGCGACGAUCCCUAGCUGGUCUGAGAGGAUGACCAGCCACACUGGAACUGGGACACGGUCCAGACUCCUACGGGAGGCAGCAGUGGGGAAUAUUGCACAAUGGGCGCAAGCCUGAUGCAGCAAUGCCGCGUGUAUGAAGAAGGACUUCGGGUUGUAAAGUACUUUCAGCGGGGAGGCGGUACCCGCAGAAGAAGCACCGGCUAACUCCGUGCCAGCGGCCGCGGUAAUUC